CCUGCCAAGGACUGCUAGUCACUCAGACGAUUUGCCUUUUCUUAUUUACCGGGGGCUGUUUCAGGUCUCCUCCCUCCUCUCCUGUCACUUCUUUUCUGCUCUUUGUCAACUUGUGGUUUUAGGUGGAAACGGUUUCUUUUCCCUGCAUCAUCUAGCAGGAUCUCUGAGGCAUGAAGUGUAACCACAGGACUUUUCUUAUCCAACAGAGCCUUUGCUGGAGUGGACACCAUUCAAGCUCUGAUAUGCACAUUGUGGCCUGUCACGUUUGUUCUCCUCGGUAACAGGGAGAGGAGAAGACGGAAAGCACAGGCAGCCUCUGAGUGAAACUCUACAGGCAUCAGAGUCGAGGGAAAGAAACCUGCAGCUGUGUUGGCACCCUUCUCUUUUGCUGCUCGGAUCACCCAAGCUUUGCUUCCUAAUCCAGACAGCAAAAGCUUCAGCUCUGUCAGCUGAACUGCCUUCUAGCAGAUUACAAAGAAGAAGUAUCCACUGUGAAAUAAAGAUGAAAGGACUGGUACAGAAGCAAG